rnacentral:rRNA from 1 species
UUGAACGCUGGCGGCAGGCCUAACACAUGCAAGUCGAACGGUAACAGGAAGCAGCUUGCUGCUUUGCUGACGAGUGGCGGACGGGUGAGUAAUGUCUGGGAAACUGCCUGAUGGAGGGGGAUAACUACUGGAAACGGUAGCUAAUACCGCAUAACGUCGCAAGACCAAAGAGGGGGACCUUAGGGCCUCUUGCCAUCGGAUGUGCCCAGAUGGGAUUAGCUAGUAGGUGGGGUAACGGCUCACCUAGGCGACGAUCCCUAGCUGGUCUGAGAGGAUGACCAGCCACACUGGAACUGAGACACGGUCCAGACUCCUACGGGAGGCAGCAGUGGGGAAUAUUGCACAAUGGGCGCAAGCCUGAUGCAGCCAUGCCGCGUGUAUGAAGAAGGCCUUCGGGUUGUAAAGUACUUUCAGCGGGGAGGAAGGGAGUAAAGUUAAUACCUUUGCUCAUUGACGUUACCCGCAGAAGAAGCACCGGCUAACUCCGUGCCAGCAGCCGCGGUAAUACGGAGGGUGCAAGCGUUAAUCGGAAUUACUGGGCGUAAAGCGCACGCAGGCGGUUUGUUAAGUCAGAUGUGAAAUCCCCGGGCUCAACCUGGGAACUGCAUCUGAUACUGGCAAGCUUGAGUCUCGUAGAGGGGGGUAGAAUUCCAGGUGUAGCGGUGAAAUGCGUAGAGAUCUGGAGGAAUACCGGUGGCGAAGGCGGCCCCCUGGACGAAGACUGACGCUCAGGUGCGAAAGCGUGGGGAGCAAACAGGAUUAGAUACCCUGGUAGUCCACGCCGUAAACGAUGUCGACUUGGAGGUUGUGCCCUUGAGGCGUGGCUUCCGGAGCUAACGCGUUAAGUCGACCGCCUGGGGAGUACGGCCGCAAGGUUAAAACUCAAAUGAAUUGACGGGGGCCCGCACAAGCGGUGGAGCAUGUGGUUUAAUUCGAUGCAACGCGAAGAACCUUACCUGGUCUUGACAUCCACGGAAGUUUUCAGAGAUGAGAAUGUGCCUUCGGGAACCGUGAGACAGGUGCUGCAUGGCUGUCGUCAGCUCGUGUUGUGAAAUGUUGGGUUAAGUCCCGCAACGAGCGCAACCCUUAUCCUUUGUUGCCAGCGGUCCGGCCGGGAACUCAAAGGAGACUGCCAGUGAUAAACUGGAGGAAGGUGGGGAUGACGUCAAGUCAUCAUGGCCCUUACGACCAGGGCUACACACGUGCUACAAUGGCGCAUACAAAGAGAAGCGACCUCGCGAGAGCAAGCGGACCUCAUAAAGUGCGUCGUAGUCCGGAUUGGAGUCUGCAACUCGACUCCAUGAAGUCGGAAUCGCUAGUAAUCGUGGAUCGGAAUGCCACGGUGAAUACGUUCCCGGGCCUUGUACACACCGCCCGUCACACCAUGGGAGUGGGUUGCAAAAGAAGUAGGUAGCUUAACCUUCGGGAGGGCGCUUACCACUUUGUGAUUCAUGACUGGGGUG